rnacentral:rRNA from 1 species
CCUACGGGGCGCAGCAGUGAGGAAUAUUGGUCAAUGGACGAGAGUCUGAACCAGCCAAGUAGCGUGAAGGAUGACUGCCCUAUGGGUUGUAAACUUCUUUUAUAUGGGAAUAAAAUGUUCCACGUGUGGGCUUUUGUAUGUACCAUAUGAAUAAGGAUCGGCUAACUCCGUGCCAGCAGCCGCGGUAAUACGGAGGAUCCGAGCGUUAUCCGGAUUUAUUGGGUUUAAAGGGAGCGUAGGUGGAUUGUUAAGUCAGUUGUGAAAGUUUGCGGCUCAACCGUAAAAUUGCAGUUGAAACUGGCAGUCUUGAGUACAGUAGAGGUGGGCGGAAUUCGUGGUGUAGCGGUGAAAUGCUUAGAUAUCACGAAGAACUCCGAUUGCGAAGGCAGCUCACUGGACUGCAACUGACACUGAGGCUCGAAAGUGUGGGUAUCAAACAGGAUUAGAUACCCGUGUAGUC